UUGAACGCUGGCGGCAGGCCUAACACCUGCAAGUCGAGCGGAUGAAGGGAGCUUGCUCCUGGAUUCAGCGGCGGACGGGUGAGUAACGCCUAGGAAUCUGCCUGGUAGUGGGGGAUAACGUCCGGAAACGGGCGCUAAUACCGCAUACGUCCUGAGGGAGAAAGUGGGGGAUCUUCGGACCUCACGCUAUCAGAUGAGCCUAGGUCGGAUUAGCUAGUUGGUGGGGUAAAGGCCUACCAAGGCGACGAUCCGUAACUGGUCUGAGAGGAUGAUCAGUCACACUGGAACUGAGACACGGUCCAGACUCCUACGGGAGGCAGCAGUGGGGAAUAUUGGACAAUGGGCGAAAGCCUGAUCCAGCCAUGCCGCGUGUGUGAAGAAGGUCUUCGGAUUGUAAAGCACUUUAAGUUGGGAGGAAGGGCAGUAAGUUAAUACCUUGCUGUUUUGACGUUACCAACAGAAUAAGCACCGGCUAACUUCGUG
rnacentral:rRNA from 1 species